rnacentral:rRNA from 1 species
AGUUUGAUCCUGGCUCAGGAUGAACGCUAGCUACAGGCUUAACACAUGCAAGUCGAGGGGCAGCAUUGGAGUAGCAAUACUUCAGAUGGCGACCGGCGCACGGGUGAGUAACACGUAUCCAACCUGCCGCUUACUCGGGGAUAGCCUUUCGAAAGAAAGAUUAAUACCCGAUGGUAUAAAGAGUUCGCAUGUUCUCUUUAUUAAAGAAUUUCGGUAAGCGAUGGGGAUGCGUUCCAUUAGAUUGUUGGCGGGGUAACGGCCCACCAAGUCUACGAUGGAUAGGGGUUCUGAGAGGAAGGUCCCCCACAUUGGAACUGAGACACGGUCCAAACUCCUACGGGAGGCAGCAGUGAGGAAUAUUGGUCAAUGGACGAGAGUCUGAACCAGCCAAGUAGCGUGAAGGAUGACUGCCCUAUGGGUUGUAAACUUCUUUUAUAAGGGAAUAAAGUGAGGGACGUGUCCCUUUUUGUAUGUACCUUAUGAAUAAGGAUCGGCUAACUCCGUGCCAGCAGCCGCGGUAAUACGGAGGAUCCGAGCGUUAUCCGGAUUUAUUGGGUUUAAAGGGAGCGUAGGUUGACGUAUAAGUCAGCUGUGAAAGUUUACGGCUCAACCGUGAAAUUGCAGUUGAUACUGUAUGUCUUGAGUGUACAAGAGGUGGGCGGAAUUCGUGGUGUAGCGGUGAAAUGCUUAGAUAUCACGAAGAACUCCAAUUGCGAAGGCAGCUCACUGGGGUACAACUGACACUGAGGCUCGAAAGUGUGGGUAUCAAACAGGAUUAGAUACCCUGGUAGUCCACACAGUAAACGAUGAAUACUCGCUGUUUGCGAUAUACAGUAAGCGGCCAAGCGAAAGCAUUAAGUAUUCCACCUGGGGAGUACGCCGGCAACGGUGAAACUCAAAGGAAUUGACGGGGGCCCGCACAAGCGGAGGAACAUGUGGUUUAAUUCGAUGAUACGCGAGGAACCUUACCCGGGCUUGAAUUGCAGAGGAAUAUAGUCGAAAGAUUAUAGCCGCAAGGUCUCUGUGAAGGUGCUGCAUGGUUGUCGUCAGCUCGUGCCGUGAGGUGUCGGCUUAAGUGCCAUAACGAGCGCAACCCUUAUCAUUAGUUACUAACAGGUCAUGCUGAGGACUCUAGUGAGACUGCCGUCGUAAGAUGUGAGGAAGGUGGA